ACAUGUACACAUCGUAUAGCUGUCGUCACGAAGCUAUACAAGCUACCAUCAGCAAUCGCAAAUACGGCUGGAGCUGUGUGAGAGAGCGUGACGGGUGGCGAUCGCCGCGAGCGCUGCGAUUGCGAUGGUGGAUCGGUAUCCUGAAUUUUUGGCACCGAAAAUAGUCGGGCGGGCGCGCGGUAUCGCCGCGAGGGCGGGCGCGGCGCAGUGCGUGUCGCUCCGCCGUGUGAACAGCCCGUGAGUGAGGCCAGUAACUGGCGUAUUUUUUCGACCGAACCGUAACAACACAAAGCCGCCACCAUGGACGCGAUCAAGAAGAAGAUGCAGGCGAUGAAGCUGGAGAAGGACAAUGCCAUGGACAAGGCAGACACCUGCGAACAGCAGGCCAGGGACGCCAACCUCCGCGCCGAGAAGGUUAACGAGGAAGUCCGUGAGCUCCAGAAGAAGCUCGCCCAGGUGGAGGAGGACCUCAUUCUGAACAAGAACAAGCUUGAGCAGGCUAACAAGGACCUGGAAGAGAAGGAGAAGCAGCUCACUGCCACCGAGGCUGAGGUCGCUUCCCUCAACAGGAAGGUGCAGCAGAUUGAGGAGGACCUCGAGAAGUCUGAGGAGAGGUCCGGCACUGCCCAGCAGAAGCUGCUCGAGGCCCAGCAGGCUGCUGACGAGAACAACCGUAUGUGCAAAGUAUUGGAGAACAGGGCACAACAGGACGAGGAGCGCAUGGACCAACUGACCAACCAGCUGAAGGAGGCUCGUCUCCUUGCUGAAGACGCUGACGGCAAAUCCGACGAGGUAUCCCGUAAACUGGCGUUCGUUGAAGACGAGCUCGAAGUUGCUGAGGACCGUGUCAAAUCUGGAGACGCCAAGAUCUCAGAACUUGAGGAGGAAUUGAAGGUCGUAGGUAACUCCCUUAAAUCAUUGGAAGUAUCGGAAGAGAAGGCGAACCAGCGUGUUGAGGAGUUCAAGAAGCAGCUGAAGACCCUCACCAGCAAGUUGAAGGAAGCCGAGGCGCGCGCCGAGUUCGCCGAGAAGACCGUGAAGAAACUGCAGAAGGAGGUCGACAGGCUCGAAGACGCAUUAUUCAACGAGAAGGAGAAAUACAAGGCGAUAUGCGAUGACUUGGACGGCACUUUCGCCGAGCUCACAGGAUACUAACUUACCCUUAUAGUGCUUAGUUUAAUUAUACCGUCCGUUCGUACCAUCCACACCGACCAUCUGUUUAUAUCGACACCUGACUAGCAUCGGCGUUGGAAUACUCCCGUUCUGAACGCUGCAAAUCCAAAUCUCCAGUGACAUUGGACUUGAUACGAGUUCAAUCAAAUUCAUCUCCCAUAUUUUCUGUAUCACAAAUCUGUUUAUUUUUAAUGCUCCCUAACCCUUUUUCGAUGUUUAGAGGAUUGUCAUUGACUUGUAGAUCUGCAAAUGCUUUUCUGACUACAUCACUCGCUGACGAUCCUUUAGAAAUCGUAGUUUUAGGCCCCGCUUUUUGUGUUGUGAUUAACAUGUCUUUCGCUUUACGCCUACCGACGUGGACCAAUGCUUCGAAGAUGAGCUUGGCAUCAACAAGGACAGAUACAAGAGCUUGGCCGACGAGAUGGACUCCACCUUCGCCGAGCUGGCUGGUUACUAAACACCAUGCACAACGCACUCCACACAUACACACCAGUACAAGCACGCACACACACGCAGCACAGCUGCCCAUCCAACAGUUACACUAUACAAUGCAAAUUUGAUUCGUCUGUACACGUGAUGUAAUGAUAUUUAUUAAUAUAUUAUGUAAAUUUAUUUACGAUUUUGAAAUAAAAGUUAAUUUAUAACAAUUA
rnacentral:misc_RNA from 1 species